GACAGAGGUCCCAAGCGUUGUUCGGAUUCACUGGGCGUAAAGGGUGCGUAGGUGGUCGGGUAAUCUGAUGUGAAAGCUCUGGGCUCAACCCAGAAAUGGCAUUGGAUACUAUCUGGCUAGAGGAAUGGAGGGGGGGACUGGAAUACUUGGUGUAGCAGUGAAAUGCGUAGAUAUCAAGUGGAACACCAGUGGCGAAGGCGAGUCCCUGGACAUUUCCUGACACUGAGGCACGAAAGCUAGGGGAGCAAACAGG
rnacentral:rRNA from 1 species